CGGGGCGUAGCGCAGUUUGGUAGCGUGCUUGGUUCGGGACCAAGAGGCCGGAGGUUCGAAUCCUCUCGCUCCGACCA
rnacentral:tRNA from 2 species